GCCUUAAUGCAAUGGUGGAGUAACUAGCGCCUGCAAUGACUGCUUUAGAUUGCUUGGUUGCGGAUACUCGCUAACGAGAUCUGGGUAUGGCACAAAUGUAGCAGUGGUUUAUUUAGGCAACUGACUUAUCAGGCUGCUUUAGAGCAUCAUUUGGUUUCUCCCCAUUUCUGCUCAGAGGCUGGCACAGCAUGGUAGUCCUUCCUGAAGACACGUGCUUGGAGGAGGACACACAAACAACAUUACUCCAUCUGCCCAGUAGCCAUGUUGCGUUAGGUACUAUGCAAACAUCAACAAAAGAGCAUCCCUACCCUGAAGAGUUUACAAUCUAAUUAUAAGACAGGAGGCAAGAGGUGAAUGCAGCUAGCAAAUGUAGAAAGAACAAGUGUUUUAGGAAAUCUAGAUGGAAGAGGGGAGGAAACAAAUGAGAAGGCUUGGAAAACAGAGUGAUUAAUUAAGGAGUCCAGAUCUCUUUACUGGUGUCUCCCUUAAACCACAUUUAUGUGAAUGUUUUUGAUCUUCAAGGUAAGCCACAUGGGAUGUGCGUUCUUCAUAUGAAAAGUCCCAAAGGAACACACCCAAAGAAUAGUGCCUUUCAUGUGAAAAAUUACCACUGCCGCUACCACUUCUCAACCUGUUUAAUGUAAAAUAUCACUACUGCCUUAAAAGAAGUUUAAUUUCCCAAAUAUCUCCCGCUAAACAUAUCAGCUAGAUUUUCCAGAUGGAGUAAAUUAACAUCACUCCAUUAAAAUUAUGUCAGUUUACACCAGCUGCAGAUUGGCUGUCUGUUCAGACUAUCAAAAUCUUUUAACUAAUUUCUCUAAGAAAAUGCAUGGAGAUGAAGGUGAGAAAAAGGAAAGGAGAGGGGAACGAGAUCCUGUGAAAGGAGAAAAGUGUUAGGCAAAUCAUCAUCAGCCAUCUCAUUGACCCUAGGUAGCAUCAGCAUCUCAGAAAUAGUGACAUUUGUGACCUUUCACUCCAUAUUCUUUAUGAAAAUAUGCUGAUAUGAAUGACAUAAAUGAGAUGUACUGUUUGCAAGAUGGCUCAUGUA